rnacentral:rRNA from 1 species
UCAGGUGGUUAUAGCGCCGGGGUUCCACCUCUUCCCAUUCCGAACAGAGAAGUUAAGCCCGAACGCGCCGAUGGUACUGCGUAUUGUGGGAGAGUAGGUUGCCGCCACUU